rnacentral:rRNA from 1 species
GCGGCAAAAGCUCAAAUUUGAAAUCUAGUACCUUCGGUGCUCGAGUUGUAAUUUGAAGGUAGUUUUCUGGUGCUGGCCCUUGUCUAUGUUCCUUGGAACAGGACGUCAUAGAGGGUGAGAAUCCCGUCUGAUGGGGUGUCCAGUGCUUUGUAGAUUUCUACCGAAGAGUCGAGUUGUUUGGGAAUGCAGCUCUAAGUGGGUGGUAAAUUCCAUCUAAAGCUAAAUACUGGCGAGAGACCGAUAGCGAACAAGUACAGUGAUGGAAAGAUGAAAAGAACUUUGAAAAGAGAGUGAAAAAGUACGUGAAAUUGUUGAAAGGGAAGGGUAUUGGAUCAGACUUGGUGUCUUGUGAUUAUCUUCCCUUCUUGGGUUGUGCACUCGCAUUUCACUGGGCCAGCAUCGGUUCGGAUGGCAAGAUAAUGGCUUGGGAAUGUGGCACUCUUCGGAGUGUGUUAUAGCCCUUGUUGAUGUUGCCUAUCUGGACCGAGG